rnacentral:rRNA from 1 species
AGGACGAACGCUGGCGGCGUGCUUAACACAUGCAAGUCGAACGGAAAGGCCCUUCGGGGUACUCGAGUGGCGAACGGGUGAGUAACACGUGGGUGAUCUGCCCCGCACUUUGGGAUAAGCCUGGGAAACUGGGUCUAAUACCGAAUAGGACCACGGCCUGCAUGGGUUGUGGUGGAAAGCUUUUGCGGUGUGGGAUGGGCCCGCGGCCUAUCAGCUUGUUGGUGGGGUGAUGGCCUACCAAGGCGACGACGGGUAGCCGGCCUGAGAGGGUGUCCGGCCACACUGGGACUGAGAUACGGCCCAGACUCCUACGGGAGGCAGCAGUGGGGAAUAUUGCACAAUGGGCGCAAGCCUGAUGCAGCGACGCCGCGUGGGGGAUGACGGCCUUCGGGUUGUAACCCUUUCAGUAGGGACGAAGCGCAAGUGACGGUACUACAGAGAAGCACCGGCCAACUACGUGCCAGCAGCCGC